UGUAUUUGCUUCCGAGGGCAUUGCAUUAUUGGUUACUAGGGGAGGCUAGGGAUAGCAAGCCGGUAAUUAAUAAUAGGCUCUUUUCACCAAGGGAUUGGGUUAAGGGUAAACUAGAAAGUUUGCAUGGCAAUUAGAUAAAUAAGUGAAGUAAAUAAGAAGAGUAGAUAUAUGAGAGUGGAUAAGAUCAAAUUGUAAACCCCAACAACACCAUUCAUCCAUAGUUUCUCAAAACCAAUUGAAUCAACUGCAUUGCAUGUUUACUUUUGUUCUUUGCAUAUAACCACCAAAUUUAUUCUCCUCUCAAGUCUUACAAGAUUUGUUUACAUGAAAGUUAAGGCCUAA
rnacentral:lncRNA from 1 species